rnacentral:rRNA from 1 species
UACGUAGGGAGCAAGCGUUGUCCGGAAUCAUUGGGCGUAAAGCGCGCGUAGGCGGCCCGAUAAGUCCGCUGUGAAAGUCAACGGCUCAACUGUUGGAUGCCGGUGGAUACUGUCGGGCUAGAGUACGGAAGAGGCAAGUGGAAUUCCUGGUGUAGCGGUGGAAUGCGCAGAUAUCAGGAGGAACACCUAUAGCGAAGGCAGCUUGCUGGGACGUUACUGACGCUGAGACGCGAAAGCGUGGGGAGCAAACAGG